GAUAGUGGUUGUGUCCGUUUCAACUGUAUUAUUGUAGAAUUAGACAGACAUGGACCUUAAAUGUUUGUUUGCGGACCGCCAUGAUACCAUAGGAGGUCUGCAUCAACGGACUUCAGUACAGGCCGACUCAGAUUAAGUCUGAGGUCGGUAACAUCAACAGUGAGGACAAA